rnacentral:rRNA from 1 species
UACGGAGGGUGCAAACGUUGCUCGGAAUCAUUGGGCGUAAAGCGCACGUAGGUGGCUUGUUAAGUCGGGUGUGAAAUCCCUGGGCUCAACCCAGGAAGUGCACUCGAAACUGGCGAGCUUGAGUACUGAAGAGGGUCGCGGAAUUCCCGGUGUAGAGGCGAAAUUCGUAGAUAUCGGGAGGAACACCAGUGGCGAAGGCGACGAUCUGGGCCGCAACUGACGCUGAGGCGCGAAGGCUAGGGGAGCAAACAGG